AAAACAAAAAAAACCUGGUUAGGAAAUUAUUUUAGUUUUAAAUAUUUUUUUGUGUAAAACUAUAUUUGUGAACUAAUAUUUACGUCCUUGUAUAUUAAUUUUGAUAAAUAAUAUAAAUCAUUAUUUACAUAAAUAUAUAUGUCUUUAUGUAUUUGAUCUAGAAUCGUAAGCGUAUGAAACACUGAGUUUAAAAUUCUUGGAUUGGGAUGCAUAUGUUCACUAAGUCAAUGUGGAAUUUAGUUUCUAAGUCAAUGUUAGUUGAUGUCUAUUGUAUAUGUGAAUUAAUUUUGCUUUUCUUCAGCCCUUUAUUUGUCUGAAGAUCUUUAUGAUAAUUCUUAAGAAACAAAUUUGAUAAAUAUGUUGGUAGGAUUAGGUCUCGGUAAAAAAAAAAUCAGAACCGAAAAUUCAGAGCCAAAAGGGAACCGAAAUGACUGAAACUAGAACGAAACCAAAUUUUAUAUCUGAAAUAACCAAAUCAAACUGGAAUAUGUAUAACAUGGUUUCCGUUUGGUCUCUAGGAUUUUCCUCGCCAGUUCCGGUUGAACGCGGUGGGAUAAUCGAACUAAGUGAGAGAUCCGGAUACCUGAAUUAUCAAAAAAAAAGAAAAAAACCAAAUCAAACUGGAAUCAAACUAAGAACCAAACGGGUAACUAAAUAUAUAAAAUAUAAAGAAAUUUGUAUAUAAAUAUAUAUAUAUAUAUAUAAUAUAGAUAAUUUAAAAAUCUAUUAAAUUUAAAAGAAUCUGAAAGCAUUUGAAAAGAAAAUUAUCAAAAAAAAUAUUUUUGAACUACCCAAAAUUUUCAGAAAUUAUCCAGAUAUGUUUAUCUGAAAUUGUCGAGAUAUUUUUAUCCGGAAUAUUUAAAAUAAUCAAAACUAUUCAAGGUUUUUAUCCAAGUUACCCGAUAUAUUACCUGAAAUGCCAUAUAUUUUAUCCAAAAUAACUGAAAAAAUCAAACCAAAGGUAUGUGCUUGAAGAUUGAACCACAUGUUUAUAUCAAUCCCAAUGUAUGUACUUGGACCUGCAAGAAAGGGAUACGUUGAAAUAUUAUUCUUAAUAAAUACUUUCAAAAAGUGCAUUUGCAGAAGCAUGAGUGAAAGUAUUUACCUAUAUAAUUUUGAAGUGACGCCACUUCCAUAAGAUAAGACUUGGCUUUGUAUAUACUCAUAAAUGGAUAAGGACACAUAAUUUAUAAUAGUGUCAAGUAUAAAUAUUUAGACUUGUGUGUAAACAGGUGUGUAUUAUCUUCAUAUUCUAAAAUGGGUGGAGGGAUUUACUAUGUAGGACCUCAUGAUUCUUGAGAAAUUGGAAAGUGUAAUACACUUUCACAUAUUCACUAAAUAAUUAACAGAUAUAUCAAACUCAUGCAUAAAUUAAAAAAAAAAAGAAUAUGUGAAAGUGGUGGAGGAUUGUUGGAAAUUUAAAUGAAUCUCUAUUUUAGUAUUGGUCCUUGGGUUUGAUUCUAACAUGGCUAGGGCGUCCGCUGUCGUGUUGUCUUCUCCUGGGACUUUUUUUUAACUCGAAUAAGUGAAAUUAUGUGGCCAAAUCUUGGACGACUUUGAGAUAUGCAUCCCAGUCGCUAUGGUUCUUUGCUUUGUAGUCGCUAUUGAAAUGAUUGGCGACGAGUUCUGAGUCACAAAAGCCUAAAUGCAUUUUGCUUUAAUUGUUUUCACCAGACGUAAUUUGGCAAUCAAUGCUUCGUAUUCAGUUUCAUUGUCGGUGAAACCCAUACAUACUCCACCGACGCCAGGUCUUGUAUUUGUGGAAAUACGGUUUCAGUUUCCUAGAUGAGGAAAUGACAGCCUAAGGUUUAGUAAACAUGAAAGCGGAGAUAUACUGCACAAGGUUCACCUAUUACAGUUUUUAGUGAAGCUAUUUGCCGCACUUCUUUUGAAAAUGUGCAUUCAAAAUAAAGAUGAUUAAGAUUUUGUGCUGCUUCUCCAUAUUGUCUGAAAGGUCAUUGAUUGCUCAAAAGUUAGUUUUUGAGCUUGUUUCAUGAGAUUAAUAUCUAUAAAGUACUCAAUUUUCUUUUUCAGAUUUUGAAAAUCCUAAAAGUAUAUGAACUUUUAUCAUAUUUAUACUUAUAUGGUUUCAGUUAUCUUACAAAAAACAUCAUAAAGUAAAAAGUAGGAGAUAGUUGGGCGCAGAGUCAAGCUGGAUAAACUCAAGGAUCACUGAUUCCAAGAGGAAUAGUUGUUGGACUACGUUGAUUCCUUAGAAUGGAUGAAGGUUCUUGAAAGACGUUGAUUUGCAAAGAAUAGCCGUUAACAUGAAAUGAACUGAAGAAAUCCAGGGAUUUUAUUCAAUAAUAGAUGUCAACAACAAUCGUGCGCUCAAUUAAAUAAGAAUAUAGCAAACAAAAACCCAAAACCAACAAAGCCCAAAAAAAGAACAAAGACAAGCGAUACAUGAGUCGUGAACAAAGCCGGUGGACGGGGACGUGAAUGGUGAGAUAAGAUGAUACAUUUGGUCUUUUUUUUUAUUGUUUAAACAUGAUAUAACUUAAUGACCUGAUCGAUGCUAGCAC